rnacentral:rRNA from 1 species
GCCUACGACCAUAUCACCCUGAAUGCGCCCGAUCUCGUCUGAUCUCGGAAGCUAAGCAUGGUCGAGCCUGUUGUAUCUG